rnacentral:rRNA from 1 species
UACGAAGGGGGCUAGCGUUGUUCGGAUUUACUGGGCGUAAAGCGCACGUAGGCGGAUUGUUAAGUCGGGGGUGAAAUCCUGGAGCUCAACUCCAGAACUGCCUUUGAUACUGAAGAUCUUGAGUCCGGGAGAGGUGAGUGGAACUGCGAGUGUAGAGGUGAAAUUCGUAGAUAUUCGCAAGAACACCAGUGGCGAAGGCGGCUCACUGGCCCGGUACUGACGCUGAGGCACGAAAGCGUGGGGAGCAAACAGG